GCGCCGUCGGUUCCGAUGGUGGGACGCGCGACUCCAAAUCGGGAAGCGGCAGGGUCGAUCCCUGCACGGCGUG
rnacentral:tRNA from 1 species